CGGGGCCGGGGCAGGAGACGGGGCGACGGGGAACCCGGGCAGGUUGAAUUUGACCGGUUCAGCCCCAGUGUCUUCCAGGACUCCUGGCCCAGAGUGGGGAAUUUGAGCUUUUCCACCAGAGGAGGAGGUGUGCAGAGCCACUGGGAGGCCGUGAGGAACCGCGCUAUAGCCGCUGGUGUGCGGUGUCAGGCGCGUGCCAUUCAGAACGCAUCCUCAUUGGGGAAUGAUUCAAAGGGAGAGGGGGUCUUUGGAAGAAUCGUUCCUACUCUGGGUAAAGAUAGGCCAGUCCCCUUGAGUGAUUCUAGACAGUCAGUAGGCUACAUGUUACGGCUGGAAGUCCACACCGAAGGUGUUCAAAACAUUUGAAAAGAAGACUAUGACUGGGAAAUUACUGCUGUGUGUCCGACACCGGGGCUUUGUGUGUGUUAA